rnacentral:rRNA from 1 species
GAUGAACGCUAGCGGCAGGCCUAAUACAUGCAAGUCGGACGGGAUUCAGGAGCUUGCUUCUGAUGAGAGUGGCGCACGGGUGCGUAACACGUAUGUAACCUACCUUUAUCAGGGGGAUAGCCUCUCGAAAGAGAGAUUAAGCCCGCAUAAAAUCACAGCACAGCAUUGUGUAAUGAUCAAAUAUUUAUAGGAUAAAGAUGGGAAUGCGGAACAUUAGCUAGAUGGCGGGGUAACGGCCCACCAUGGCGACGAUGUUUAGGGGAUCUGAGAGGAUGGCCCCCCGGACUGGUACUAAGGCACAGACCAGACUCGUAGGGAGGAGAGGGGAAAGGAAGAUUAGGCGAGGGAGGGAGGCCUGACCCAGCCGUGCGGGGGACAAAAAGACGGGGCUAGGAGAUGUAAUCUGCUUUUAAACGGGAGUAGACCCAGAUACGUGUAUCUGGCUGACGGUACUGAAAGAAUAAGGAUCGGCUAACUUCGUG